rnacentral:rRNA from 1 species
UAAUACCAGCACCCCGAGUGGUCGGGACGAUUAUUGGGCCUAAAGCAUCCGUAGCCGGUCCUGCAAGUCCUCCGUUAAAUCCACCCGCUCAACGGUUGGGCCGCGGGGGAUACUACAGGGCUAGGAGGCGGGAGAGGCAAGCGGUACUCGAUGGGUAGGGGUAAAAUCCACUGAUCCAUUGAAGACCACCAGUGGCGAAGGCGG